UCAAGGUGGUAACACCUCAUCUGUUUUUGUUUAAUAUAUUGGGCUUGAAGGUGCAGAGGUGCAUUUCUCAAUGCUCAAGCAAGGAGAGAGAAUGAGCAGGACACCUCCAAAGCAGUACAGCAAAGUUGUUCAGCCCAAUCAUGGAAGGACAAAAGGAAUCACCGUAUCCAUAAUGGAACCAACCUGGUAAUUCCAUGAGAGAGAGAGAGAGCAGCUGCAGAGAGAAGGGAAGCAAAGACACACAUCUAUGCCCUGUCAACACGUGAAUCAAUCGCUUUAUGGUCGGCGAUCAUUCUCUCUCCUCUGUAUUUCCUAUUCAUACCUAAGCUACAUGCAUAUAUAUACACAUCUACAGUCACCGAGUUCCUGUGCACGGUUCAUUUUCCAUUGCUUGGAGGAUAUUAGUGUUAGGGAGAAGAUGAGGCCAUCAUGUUAUUUGGUAUUCUUCUUGAUAUGCUUCAUUUUGCCAAGUGAUCACCAGAGCUGGGGUUUAAGGACGAUUCCUAAAGAUAAAAAUGAGUUGGCCGUGCCGAAAAUGGCAUCAAGGAGUUCACAACAUAAAGGACUAGAGUGUAAAAACACAGGUAAGGGCAAAGAAGGAUGCCAGGACGAUGGCGAGUCAGAAGAGAGUAUGUUUGAGAAUGGAGACUAUAUCUACACCAACUCCCAUCCAUGAAAAACGCAGGAAACUCGCUGCCACCACCUACGCACAUGAUAUAUUGUCAGUGCAUGGCAGCACUAACAUUAACAUCAAGCAGGAGUAAGAACUGAAGAUCCCUGAAAGUUGGGUUUGGCUUUGCAUCAUGUGGAAGCAAUAAUCCAACAUGUGUGAGAAAGGGGUUUGGCCUUAGCAAGAGUGUAAAUCCUAGAAUAACCAAUUUGGACCUUUUUUUUUUUUCUUUGACGUGUGUGAGAUGAGCUUGAAUUUUCUUCUAGAAAUGUCUGUGAUACCUGUGAAAUAGAUUUCCUAAUUGAUUUCCCUUCAUUUCGUUUA